CUGGGUGUAGCUCAGUUUGGUAGAGCGCUAGAAUGGGGUUCUAGAGGCCGCAGGUUCGACUCCUGUCACCCAGA
rnacentral:tRNA from 1 species